GAUGAACGCUGGCGGCGUGCCUAACACAUGCAAGUCGAACGGUGAACGAGGGAGCUUGCUCCCUCCGGAUCAGUGGCGAACGGGUGAGUAACACGUGAGCAAUCUGCCCUGGACUCUGGGAUAAGCGUUGGAAACGACGUCUAAUACCGGAUAUGAGACGCGAAGGCAUCUUCAGCGUCUGGAAAGAACUUCGGUCCAGGAUGAGCUCGCGGCCUAUCAGGUAGUUGGUGAGGUAACGGCUCACCAAGCCUACGACGGGUAGCCGGCCUGAGAGGGUGACCGGCCACACUGGGACUGAGACACGGCCCAGACUCCUACGGGAGGCAGCAGUGGGGAAUAUUGCACAAUGGGCGCAAGCCUGAUGCAGCAACGCCGCGUGAGGGACGACGGCCUUCGGGUUGUAAACCUCUUUUAGCAGGGAAGAAGCGAAAGUGACGGUACCUGCAGAAAAAGCACCGGCUAACUACGUGCCAGCCGCCGCCGUAAAAC
rnacentral:rRNA from 1 species